UGCCCUAGUAACGGCGAGUGAAGCGGCAACAGCUCAAAUUUGAAAGCUAGCCUUCGGGUUCGCAUUGUAAUUUGUAGAGGAUGAUUUGGGGAAGCCGCCUGUCUAAGUUCCUUGGAACAGGACGUCAUAGAGGGUGAGAAUCCCGUAUGUGACAGGAAAUGGCACCCUAUGUAAAUCUCCUUCGACGAGUCGAGUUGUUUGGGAAUGCAGCUCUAAAUGGGAGGUAAAUUUCUUCUAAAGCUAAAUAUUGGCGAGAGACCGAUAGCGCACAAGUAGAGUGAUCGAAAGAUGAAAAGCACUUUGGAAAGAGAGUUAAAAAGCACGUGAAAUUGUUGAAAGGGAAGCGCUUGCAAUCAGACUUGUUUAAACUGUUCGGCCGGUCUUCUGACCGGUUUACUCAGUUUGGACAGGCCAGCAUCAGUUUCGGCGGCCGGAUAAAGGCUCUGGGAAUGUGGCCUCCACUUCGGUGGAGGUGUUAUAGCCCAGGGUGUAAUACGGCCAGCCGGGACUGAGGUCCGCGCUUCGGCUAGGAUGCUGGCGUAAUGGUUGUAAGCGACCCGUCUUGAAACACGGACCAAGGAGUCUAACAUCUAUGCGAGUGUUCGGGUGUCAAACCCCUGCGCGUAAUGAAAGUGAACGGAGGUGGGAACCCGCAAGGGUGCACCAUCGACCGAUCCUGAUGUCUUCGGAUGGAUUUGAGUAAGAGCAUAGCUGUUGGGACCCGAAAGAUGGUGAACUAUGCCUGAAUAGGGUGAAGCCAGAGGAAACUCUGGUGGAGGCUCGCAGCGGUUCUGACGUGCAAAUCGAUCGUCAAAUUUGGGUAUAGGGGCGAAAGACU
rnacentral:rRNA from 1 species